rnacentral:rRNA from 1 species
UACGUAGGGUGCAAGCGUUGUCCGGAAUUAUUGGGCGUAAAGAGCUCGUAGGCGGUUUGUCGCGUCUGGUGUGAAAAUCCAGGGCUUAACCCUGGACCUGCAUCGGGUACGGGCAGACUGGAGUGCGGUAGGGGAGAUCGGAAUUCCUGGUGUAGCGGUGAAAUGCGCAGAUAUCAGGAGGAACACCGGUGGCGAAGGCGGAUCUCUGGGCCGUAACUGACGCUGAGGAGCGAAAGCGUGGGGAGCGAACAGG